AGCGAACGCUGGCGGCAGGCCUAACACAUGCAAGUCGAACGAACUCUUCGGAGUUAGUGGCGGACGGGUGAGUAACACGUGGGAACGUGCCUUUAGGUUCGGAAUAACUCAGGGAAACUUGUGCUAAUACCGAAUGUGCCCUUCGGGGGAAAGAUUUAUCGCCUUUAGAGCGGCCCGCGUCUGAUUAGCUAGUUGGUGAGGUAACGGCUCACCAAGGCAACGAUCAGCAGCUGGUCUGAGAGGAUGGCCAGCCACACUGGGACUGAGACACGGCCCAGACUCCUACGGGAGGCAGCAGUGGGGAAUCUUGCGCAAUGGGCGAAAGCCUGACGCAGCCAUGCCGCGUGAAUGAUGAAGGUCUUAGGAUUGUAAAAUUCUUUCACCGGGGACGAUAAUGACGGUACCCGGAGAAGAAGCCCCGGCUAACUUCGUGCCAGCCGCCGCAGUAA
rnacentral:rRNA from 1 species